rnacentral:rRNA from 1 species
AAGGCUUACCAAGGCGAUGAUGCAUAGCCCGAGUUGAGAGACUGAUCGGCCACAUUGGGACUGAGACACGGCCCAAAACUCCUACGGGGAGGCAGCAGUAGGGAAUCUUCCACAAUGGACGCAAGUCUGAUGGAGCAACGCCGCGUGAGUGAAGAAGGUUUUCGGAUCGUAAAAGCUCUGUUGUUGGUGAAGAAGGAUAGAGGUAGUAACUGGCCUUUAUUUGACGGUAAUCAACCAGAAAGUCACGGCUAACUACGUGCCAGCAGCCGCGGUAAU